rnacentral:rRNA from 1 species
GCUUAACCGAGGAAUUGCAUCGGAAACUGUUUUUCUUGAGUGCAGAAGAGGAGAGUGGAACUCCAUGUGUAGCGGUGGAAUGCGUAGAUAUAUGGAAGAACACCAGUGGCGAAGGCGGCUCUCUGGUCUGCAACUGACGCUGAGGCUCGAAAGCAUGGGUAGCGAACAGGAUUAGAUACCCUGGUAGUCCAUGCCGUAACCGAUGAGUGCUAAGUGUUGGGAGGUUUCCGCCUCUCAGUGCUGCAGCUAACGCAUUAAGCACUCCGCCUGGGGAGUACGACCGCAAGGUUGAAACUCAAAGGAAUUGACGGGGGCCCGCACAAGCGGUGGAGCAUGUGGUUUAAUACGAAGCAACGCGAAGAACCUUACCAGGUCUUGACAUCUAGUGCCAUCCUAAGAGAUUAGGAGUUCCCUUCGGGGACGCUAAGACAGGUGGUGCAUGGCUGUCGUCAGCUCGUGUCGUGAGAUGUUGGGUUAAGUCCCGCAACGAGCGCAACCCUUAUUAUUAGUUGCCAGCAUUAAGUUGGGCACUCUAAUGAGACUGCCGGUGACAAACCGGAGGAAGGUGGGGAUGACGUCAAGUCAUCAUGCCCCUUAUGACCUGGGCUACACACGUGCUACAAUGGGCAGUACAACG